rnacentral:rRNA from 1 species
UACGUAGGGGGCAAGCGUUGUCCGGAUUUAUUGGGCGUAAAGAGCGUGUAGGCGGCCAUACAGGUCAGCUGUGAAAACUCGAGGCUCAACCUCGAGACGUCGGUUGAAACCGUAUGGCUAGAGUCCGGAAGAGGAGAGUGGAAUUCCCGGUGUAGCGGUGAAAUGCGCAGAUAUCGGGAAGAACACCCGUGGCGAAGGCGGCUCUCUGGGACUGUACUGACGCUGAGACGCGAAAGCGUGGGGAGCGAACAGG